UACGGGGGGGGCAAGCGUUGUUCGGAAUUACUGGGCGUAAAGGGUUCGUAGGUGGCCUGCUAAGUCGGACGUGAAAUCCCUCGGCUCAACCGGGGAACUGCGUCCGAUACUGGUGGGCUCGAGUGCAGGAGAGGAACGCGGAAUUCCCGGUGUAGCGGUGAAAUGCGCAGAUAUCGGGAGGAACACCGGUGGCGAAGGCGGUUCUCUGGGCCUUACCUGACGCUGAGGAGCGAAAGCGUGGGGAGCGAACAGG
rnacentral:rRNA from 1 species